UCCCGUGUAGCUCAGUUGGUAGAGCAUGGUGUUUGCAACGCCAGGGUUGUGUGUUCGAUUCCCACGGGGG
rnacentral:tRNA from 1 species